ACGCGGCAACCAGAGUUCUUCUGACCGUGCUUUAAUGGGGUUCCCUUUAGGCUUACAUGAUACGGAAGACCCUGAGCACAAGCUCUCACACACUUAUAUACUCUAAGGAAGGAGGGAAGUGAUGGGGAUAGGUUGAAAGCGCGCGAGGGUUGUUACUGAGAGGCCAAGCUAAGAUCCUUCAUAUGCAUACUUGAUGAGACAGGAAAAGCCCCUACACCUGCGCGGAAAGCCGGCGCCAUCUUGCAAUGGCGUUAACACCGCGCCCCACAUCUCCCCCUGUUUUAUUAAUUAAUGAGAACUGAGCAACCAAGAUCAAAAGUCUCACCUGUGUUGACAGUCCCAGUUCCAUGCAAAGGCUGGCGCUAGGGUCAGAGCAUGGUCCCAAGGCCAGCCCACUCUUUCAGGUGCUGAGUGGCUUGAUGAAUCCACGUUGCAAGGG
ensembl:lincRNA